rnacentral:rRNA from 1 species
GAUGAACGCUGGCGGCGUGCUUAACACAUGCAAGUCGAACGAAGACAUCUGAGUGCUUGCACUUGGAUGGACUGAGUGGCGGACGGGUGAGUAACGCGUGGGUAACCUGCCUUAUACGGGGGGAUAACAGUUGGAAACGACUGCUAAUACCGCAUAAGCGCACGGUAUCGCAUGAUACAGUGUGAAAAACUCCGGUGGUAUAAGAUGGACCCGCGUCUGAUUAGCUUGUUGGUGAGGUAACGGCCCACCAAGGCGACGAUCAGUAGCCGGCCUGAGAGGGUGAACGGCCACAUUGGGACUGAGACACGGCCCAAACUCCUACGGGAGGCAGCAGUGGGGAAUAUUGCACAAUGGGGGAAACCCUGAUGCAGCGACGCCGCGUGAGUGAUGAAGUAUUUCGGUAUGUAAAACUCUAUCAGCAGGGAAGAUAAUGACGGUACCUGACUAAGAAGCACCGGCUAAAUACGUGCCAGCAGCCGCGGUAAUACGUAUGGUGCAAGCGCUAUCCGGAUUUACUGGGUGUAAAGGGUGCGUAGGUGGUAUGGCAAGUCAGAAGUGAAAGGCUGGGGCUCAACCCCGGGACUGCUUUUGAAACUGUCAAACUAGAGUACAGGAGAGGAAAGCGGAAUUCCUAGUGUAGCGGUGAAAUGCGUAGAUAUUAGGAGGAACACCAGUGGCGAAGGCGGCUUUCUGGACUGAAACUGACACUGAGGCACGAAAGCGUGGGGAGCAAACAGGAUUAGAUACCCUGGUAGUCCACGCCGUAAACGGUGAAUACUAGGGUGUCGGGCAGCAUAGCUGUUCGGUGCCCCAGCCAACGCCAUUAGGUUUUCCACCGGGGAAGUACGUUUCGCAAGAAUGAAACUCCAAAGAAAUUGACGGGGGACCCCCACAAGCGGUGGAGCAAGUGGGUUAAUUCGAAGCAACGGGGAAGAAACCUUACCAGGUCUUGACAUCCCGAUGACCGCUUGUUAAUUGAAGCUUUUUUUCGGAACAUCGGAGACAGAUGGUGCAUGGUUGUCGUCAGCUCGUGUCGUGAGAUGUUGGGUUAAGUCCCGCAACGAGCGCAACCCCUAUUUUCAGUAGCCAGCAUUUUGGAUGGGCACUCUGGAGAGACUGCCCGGGAUAACCGGGAGGAAGGUGGGGAUGACGUCAAAUCAUCAUGCCCCUUAUGAUCUGGGCUACACACGUGCUACAAUGGCUGUUACAGAGAGAAGCGAAUCCGCGAGGAAGAGCAAACCUCAAAAAGGCAGUCUCAGUUCGGAUUGUAGUCCGCAACUCGACUACAUGAAGCUGGACUCGCUAGUAAUCGCGAAUCAGAAUGUCGCGGUGAAUACGUUCCCGGGUCUUGCACA